GGUUAAGCGACUAAGCGUACACGGUGGAUGCCCUGGCAGUCAGAGGCGAUGAAGGACGUGCUAAUCUGCGAUAAGCGUCGGUAAGGUGAUAUGAACCGUUAUAACCGGCGAUUUCCGAAUGGGGAAACCCAGUGUGAUUCGUCACACUAUCAUUAACUGAAUCCAUAGGUUAAUGAGGCGAACCGGGGGAACUGAAACAUCUAAGUACCCCGAGGAAAAGAAAUCAACCGAGAUUCCCCCAGUAGCGGCGAGCGAACGGGGAGCAGCCCAGAGCCUGAAUCAGUGUGUGUGUUAGUGGAAGCGUCUGGAAAGGCGCGCGAUACAGGGUGACAGCCCCGUACACAAAAAUGCACAUGCUGUGAGCUCGAUGAGUAGGGCGGGACACGUGGUAUCCUGUCUGAAUAUGGGGGGACCAUCCUCCAAGGCUAAAUACUCCUGACUGACCGAUAGUGAACCAGUACCGUGAGGGAAAGGCGAAAAGAACCCCGGCGAGGGGAGUGAAAAAGAACCUGAAACCGUGUACGUACAAGCAGUGGGAGCCUCUUUAUGGGGUGACUGCGUACCUUUUGUAUAAUGGGUCAGCGACUUAUAUUCUGUAGCAAGGUUAACCGAAUAGGGGAGCCGAAGGGAAACCGAGUCUUAACUGGGCGUUAAGUUGCAGGGUAUAGACCCGAAACCCGGUGAUCUAGCCAUGGGCAGGUUGAAGGUUGGGUAACACUAACUGGAGGACCGAACCGACUAAUGUUGAAAAAUUAGCGGAUGACUUGUGGCUGGGGGUGAAAGGCCAAUCAAACCGGGAGAUAGCUGGUUCUCCCCGAAAGCUAUUUAGGUAGCGCCUCGUGAAUUCAUCUCCGGGGGUAGAGCACUGUUUCGGCAAGGGGGUCAUCCCGACUUACCAACCCGAUGCAAACUGCGAAUACCGGAGAAUGUUAUCACGGGAGACACACGGCGGGUGCUAACGUCCGUCGUGAAGAGGGAAACAACCCAGACCGCCAGCUAAGGUCCCAAAGUCAUGGUUAAGUGGGAAACGAUGUGGGAAGGCCCAGACAGCCAGGAUGUUGGCUUAGAAGCAGCCAUCAUUUAAAGAAAGCGUAAUAGCUCACUGGUCGAGUCGGCCUGCGCGGAAGAUGUAACGGGGCUAAACCAUGCACCGAAGCUGCGGCAGCGACACUAUGUGUUGUUGGGUAGGGGAGCGUUCUGUAAGCCUGCGAAGGUGUACUGUGAGGUAUGCUGGAGGUAUCAGAAGUGCGAAUGCUGACAUAAGUAACGAUA
rnacentral:rRNA from 1 species